UACGUAGGUGACAAGCGUUGUCCGGAUUUACUGGGCGUAAAGAGCGCGCAGGCGGUCGUUCAAGUCGAGUGUGAAAGCCCCGGCUCAACUGGGAGGGUCAUUCGAUACUGAUCGACUCGAAGGCAGGAGAGGGUAGUGGAAUUCCCGGUGUAGUGGUGAAAUGCGUAGAUAUCGGGAGGAACACCAGUGGCGAAGGCGACUACCUGGCCUGUUCUGACGCU
rnacentral:rRNA from 1 species